CACAACACAUUUUAUACUGUAUAUUUGUAAUGAUAGAUAAAAGGAAAACCUCAGUUUUCCAAAGGUCGACCAAAAUAACCUUGGGUAAUAUUUAAGAAUGAAGGGACACUCAGAUUGCAGAUUGAAGUUAUAAUUUAUUCCUCCUGUAUAACGCCUCAGUAUUUGCAGUUUGCCGUGGGCUCAAAAACUACAACCUAGUUCUUCCUGGUUUCCUCUGUACCUGCCCCAGCAACGGUCAGACUGAGAGGGGGCGGGGCCAUAUUGGGGGAGGGGCCAUAUUGGGAGGGGCCGGCGCCAGAUUGAGAGGGGGCUGAACCAGCUGGCUGAAGCACAACUGCUCUGUCCACCAUUGUUUUCCUCGCAUUUUCGUACAGUUCUAACAUUCAAUUGCCAAAGGCCUCGCUGUAGAUUAUUUAGAAGACAUUCAGAAGACAUUAUUCAGAAGACUUCAGCACAGUCUGAUAUUCAUGGUUAGUUGCAUGAGCCAGAGUUCAGCGCCGACGAGUUACGCCGUAUGGAGCAGUACGAAGCUGCCUGUAAGGAACCAGCACCCUCAGCAGAGAGCCCAGAGCCGGAUGCAUUGUGUCUCUGCGCAGCAGGACAGACCUGAAAAAAACAACUGGGACAGAAUGGUCAAAUGAGCACUGAGUAAUAUCGGCCGUCUGCUUUUCGUCACAGAGACCGUUGAAAGAGAAAACCGUCUUGUUUUUCCAGCCACUGAAGAGGGUUUUGGCUAAAUAUGUGAAUCUGUGGCUUCCUAAUAACUGUCUGCUUUGACUCAAAUUAAAAAGCUGCAAAACGA